CGUGCACACAUACCGCCAAGCAAGGACACCUCAGCCGCCCCGUGCUCUUUUCACCCUCCCCCCCCAAUCCCCUCCUUGUGCUCGACAGGGAACUCAUGCUGCGGUGCCUGUCCAUUCCCGAGAGGUGCGCGACGGCAGCGACGACGCAGUCAGACUGCGGUGAAGGCUGGCCAUGGGCAGUGAAUGCAGACGUCCGCCGAGGGCCCUCUGCUCUGUUGUCUCAUCUGCCUUGAACCCCACCACCUCCUCCCCUCCCCGUCUCCUUCCAUUGGCUCGUCUAUGCCAUUGCGGUUCGCUCACGUUGCCACUCGAAUUUCCUGCUUAGGCCUUCUCCGCACGGUGGUGGGUGUGUCGAUGUCAAUCCCACCUCAUCCAAGCUCUGCCCGCGUCCCCGCCCGGGCAAGACAGGAAAGCUGUGGAAGGGUGGGUGUCCGGGCAGUCUCGUGCGCACCAAACCGAAAACGUAUGCACACCGUACCGCCAUACCACCACCUUGAGGCGUGCGGCUCAGUGUUCAGCGGCACGGUCGUGCACGCCUCUCCGUACUUUGGAUCACCGGACCAUGCGUGCGCGCCGCUGGUGGCACGGCCCUUCGUCGCUCCUCUACGCCUUAAGCCUCCUCUUGUCUCUCCCUCCCUCUCACGCUGGCGGAGGAAAG
rnacentral:misc_RNA from 1 species